AUAAAAAAAUUAUCGUGAAGAUGAUUUUGUAUCUGACUUAAAUUAACGAUAAAGUCAGCUUUACGUCCUAACUUCUGGGGUCUCAGCAAUUGAGGGGACAUCUUUUUCCCCAAGACCAACCUAAGAAAAUUUACGUCCGCACAUAGGCACUACAGCUUCUAGAACUUUCCUUGGCCUAAAAAGAUAACAGCGAAUAUAUCUCUUUGGCUAAAGAGCGAGUCUCGCUGGUCUUGCAGGGCGUUUAGCUCAGUGUGUUGGUGGCCGGAGGGUCGCAGUUUUGCACAGGAAUGUCCUUCUCGGGGUUCCAUGUUGGCCAUUGCAAGUGAAAGGUGGCAGUCAUCCUUGACAAAAUGAGCAUGUGGCCUCAGGGUCCUUCUGGACACAGUGACCCAGACACCUGCUGCCAGGUGCGGGGCGAUGGCAGUCCACGCCUCGCCUGUUGGCCCCUCGGUUAGUCGGCUUGGCUCAGAGGCAGCCAGUUGUGUCACUGAACUUGAAUCGGUUCGAUCUCAGCCAACUCCCUGGCAUUUUUGUGCUGCGGUUCUUAGCUAAUCUUCCGUCCCCGGCCACCGUGUCUGUCUCUGAGCCACGUCACUGCCAGAAAAGCCACGACAAAGCGACUCGUUGUAUUUAGUGAAACUAAAUACAGAACGGGGUGCCAGGCUCCAUGGGGGUUGGUAUAUGGUUUUUCCAACCGAUUUGGGGAACACAGAAAAGCUUGGGGGGUGUCCGUUGUGUCUUUUUGCUCAUCUUCUGGUUUUUUGGUUUUUUUUUUUUUUUUUUUGCAACAGAAGCAGAAGAGAAGGGGCCGGGGGUUAUAGGCUAAGAUGAUUAUCUUGCAUCUUCUGACGGAUGCAGGACUGUGGGGAGCUGUUAGCAGACUUUUUCCACGUGUGCUUGAGUUCAGCAAGAACAAGGGUCUUCAGGGCAUUGCAAAGGGCAGGUGCAGGAUAGUUCUAGAAAAGCAACGACCACAGGUACCUUUUCAGGAGCUUGAGAAAAGGGGCCACGCCUAGCAGCUUUUAUUAAAAAUGUAUAAAUACCCUGAGGACUCUGUAUGCAUUUCACAAAUGCCCAAGAAGGUGCAUAUGUUGGCAUAGAAAUUCUUUUUUUUUUUUCCUCCCUUGUUUUGCUUUCAUAGAAUUAGCAAUACACGCCUUAUUCUCUCCAUGCUAGAAAAUUCCGAUUGCCUUUGCUGCCGGCUUAAUUUCUUUCUUUCUUUCUCUUCUUUCCGCUUUACUGUCCCAGCAGGGAGAUCUGUCUCGGGCUGUUGACACAGCGUUAUUUGGAUGAAUGACUCACCGAUAUCUUCUUUCUUUUCUCCAUUCUCUGGUUAAGUCCAGUCACAGUUUCAUUUGAACCUUGUCUGCGGGAGUCUAAGGUCCGAAAAACUCUUUCAAGUUUCCUUGCACAAAAUUGACCUCCAAGUCCCCCUCUUCCUUCCAACCUCUUAAAAAAAAAAGAUACGUUUAAGCGAAAUAUUAUUAAAUGGUUUUUGCACGCUUUUUUAAGAGCAACUGACUUUAUUUUGGCUCCAUUUUCGCCAGCCCCUUCAUGUUUUGUGAUGGUGUCGCGGCUUUUCCUUGUGUAAUUACGGCGUGUCACAUUUGCCUGGUGACAUAGAUUAUCUUGGUGGGUGUUUUGGAGCUUGCUCUUAUGUGGAGCAAGACGUGGGUGCUAAACUGAGGCAUGCACUGUGAUCUCAGUUGUGUAUUAGUUAGGAGCUUGGUUUGGGUCGGAUCCGGUGAUUAUAGUCUAAACAAGUUGGCUCUUUCUCUGACACAAAAAGCAACCAGUGCAAGAAAACGAGGCGGGUUAUGGAGGUCCUGUGGCAGCCCCCCAAACUCAUCCCAGGCCCCAUGCUUCUGGUUUCUUUCUGCCCCACCAUCCUAUACAAAUGGCUUUCCUCCUCGGGGUCACAAAGUGGCUGCCGUAGCUCCAGCCAUGGAAUCUGAGUUCCCAGGAGAAGGAAGCAAGGAACAGAAGGUUAAAAGGGCCUUCCCAGGAAUCCCCCCCACCUAGUGAAUUCUGUCGCCAUCUCUUUGACCACCUCUAUUUCUAGGGGAACUUCGGAAAAUAGGAGGUUCUGUUGCCAAGGGCGAAGGGGAGAACGGAUGUUGAGGGAGCGACCUGGAGUCUCAGCCCCUCCGAACCAUCUCCUUAAUCUUACAUUUGGUGACGAUUUCAGACUUUCUGUGUCAGAAAUCGUCGCCAAUAUUUUGAAAUAAAAACUGUU